rnacentral:rRNA from 1 species
UAUCUCUGUAGAGUCUGCAUAUCAAUAAGCGGAGGAAAAGAAACUAACUAGGAUUCCCUCAGUAACGGCGAGUGAAGCGGGAAGAGCUCAAAUUUGAAAUCUUCAAGGUUCUACCUUGACGAAUUGUAGUUUAAAGAAGUGUUUUCUGUUGGAGUUUUGGUAAAAGUUCUUUGGAAUAGGACAUCAUAGAGGGUGAGAAUCCCGUAUUUGACCAUUAUUUCCAGCUUUGUGAUACACUUUCAAAGAGUCGGAUUGUUUGGGAAUGCAGUCCAAAAUGGGUGGUAAAUUUCAUCUAAAGCUAAAUAUUGGCGAGAGACCGAUAGCGAACAAGUACCGUGAGGGAAAGAUGAAAAGAACUUUGAAAAGAGAGUUAAAACAGUACGUGAAAUUGUCAAAAGGGAAGCGUUUGACACCAGUGUUGUUUUCUCGAAAAUCAAUUAAAAAAGGCAGGAUUUUGUGUUGUAUUGACUUUAUCAGCUUUCUGCACUCUUUUCUUGUCUUUUUUAAUGCACUUUUCGUUUAACAAGUCAACAUCAAUUUCUUUUGUUGUAAAAGGGUCAUUGGAAGGUGGCUUUCUUUUCGGAGAAAGUGUUUAUAGCCUUUGGCCUCUGCAAUCGGAGAGAUUGAGGUCUGCAGCGUAGAUCCUUCGGGGCUAGAUACAUUAGAUGCUAAGUUAUAGCCUUUUCAUAGACAACUUGUUGACUAUAAUUCAGUCAUGUAGCUUACUCGCUUAUGCGCUAUUUUACCUACGCUUAGGAUGUUGACGAUCAGCUGAGCGCG